rnacentral:rRNA from 1 species
AUUGAACGCUGGCGGCAUGCCUUACACAUGCAAGUCGAACGGCAGCACGGACUUCGGUCUGGUGGCGAGUGGCGAACGGGUGAGUAAUAUAUCGGAACAUACCCUAGAGUGGGGGAUAACGUAGCGAAAGUUACGCUAAUACCGCAUACGAUCUGAGGAUGAAAGUGGGGGAUCGCAAGACCUCAUGCUCAUGGAGUGGCCGAUAUCUGAUUAGCUAGUUGGUAGGGUAAAAGCCUACCAAGGCGACGAUCAGUAGCUGGUCUGAGAGGACGACCAGCCACACUGGAACUGAGACACGGUCCAGACUCCUACGGGAGGCAGCAGUGGGGAAUUUUGGACAAUGGGGGCAACCCUGAUCCAGCAAUGCCGCGUGAGUGAAGAAGGC